UUCCUACAGGCAGAGAACUUAGAGCCAGGUUUCUACAAGGCUAACUCCCUCUACAUUGCCAAGUGCUACAUCCAGAACAGUGACUACUGCAAUGCCACAUUGUGGUUAGAGAAGGCAUUGCAGCAACCCAUCAAUGAUGAGGAGGACCGCACCACACAGACAGAGGUGACACAGCUGCUACAAAAAUAUAAGCCCUGGUAGCCCUGUCCCCCAUACUCUGCCAUGGUAUCUCCUACCCAUCCUUUCUCUGCCUGCCAUGUUAAGUCCCUUUCCCUAUCAUAGUAGCCUCCCCUGCCCCUUCUUUUCCUCUGCUAUGGUGCCCCUGCCUGUCACAGUAGCUCCCCCCCUAUGUCAUAUCAGCUGGGCUGGAUAUGACCUUCACAUCACCUUGUCAUUCCUGUUUCUUGUGUAAUGUCUGUGAAAUGCAAACUUCCCCCUAGAAAAUGUUGUGCACACUUUAUAAUGUUUGAAAAAUUGCAUCUGAAGGACAUGAUUAUUGAAUUUUUACAGUGAUGAGAAUAGAUGUGGUAGCAACUGUGAGAAAACUGAAUGUGACAAAUAACUAAUAGAUACAUUUAGGGUCCAUAUAAAGUGUACGCAGGAUGUUAAGUAUGGCGUUAAAGGGAAAUAAUCACUGUAAAGACUUGGAGAACAAACAUGCUGUUUCUUGCCACAACCAUAUACAUGUAGAAUACAGGAGCUAUUAGUAUCACCCAAACACAUUUGGGGGAAGGAAGACAAGUAUUUGAAGUAGAACUAGAACUAGAACAGUUUUUUCAGACUGAUAUAUUCUAGUAAAGGAGUGCAGGUGUAUUUGGAGCACAGUAGCACAGUGAUUUCAUAGGUAGUAGUGUGUGAAACAAGGUAGUGUUGUGUGUGAAGAUCUCGACAAUUGCUGAAUAGUGUUUUAGUCAUGAGAAAGAAAGUAUCCAUGUGACUAUUGUUAACAUUAGUACUUUUCAUGAAGUGUGAACAAGAGAAAGCAAUGACUGAGGCUGUCGCUACGGAAAUUUUAAGAUGUAGAGAAAAUGAUGACUGAGGUUGUUGCUACUGAAAUUUUAAAUGAUGCCACGUAAGUUGUCAAUGAAUAUCAAAGUCUGUUGCCAAAUUCUUAUUAUAACCCCAAGCCUGAAAUGCAGUACCAGAAGUUAUUCAUGAACCAAAGUUAAUGCUAGUUUAAAUCUUUGAGUUGUUAACAUUCCAGUCUAGACCAUUUGAAUGUAAAGUAUAAACUGUGAGACAUGUAUAUUCAGAGAUGUAAAAAGAGGUUUUAAAUCUGAACACCUAAAAGUACUUGCCAUAUUCAGUCUGUGUAAGUAAAUUGAAUGUCAGUUGAAUAAAACAAAGUUGUCAAA